AGAGUUUGAUCCUGGCUCAGGACGAACGCUGGCGGCGUGCCUAAUACAUGCAAGUCGAACGAAACUUUCUUACACCGAAUGCUUGCAUUCACCGUAAGAAGUUGAGUGGCGGACGGGUGAGUAACACGUGGGUAACCUGCCUAAAAGAAGGGGAUAACACUUGGAAACAGGUGCUAAUACCGUAUAUCUCUAAGGAUCGCAUGAUCCUUAGAUGAAAGAUGGUUCUGCUAUCGCUUUUAGAUGGACCCGCGGCGUAUUAACUAGUUGGUGGGGUAACGGCCUACCAAGGUGAUGAUACGUAGCCGAACUGAGAGGUUGAUCGGCCACAUUGGGACUGAGACACGGCCCAAACUCCUACGGGAGGCAGCAGUAGGGAAUCUUCCACAAUGGACGCAAGUCUGAUGGAGCAACGCCGCGUGAGUGAAGAAGGUCUUCGGAUCGUAAAACUCUGUUGUUAGAGAAGAACACGAGUGAGAGUAACUGUUCAUUCGAUGACGGUAUCUAACCAGCAAGUCACGGCUAACUACGUGCCAGCAGCCGCGGUAAUACGUAGGUGGCAAGCGUUGUCCGGAUUUAUUGGGCGUAAAGGGAACGCAGGCGGUCUUUUAAGUCUGAUGUGAAAGCCUUCGGCUUAACCGGAGUAGUGCAUUGGAAACUGGAAGACUUGAGUGCAGAAGAGGAGAGUGGAACUCCAUGUGUAGCGGUGAAAUGCGUAGAUAUAUGGAAGAACACCAGUGGCGAAAGCGGCUCUCUGGUCUGUAACUGACGCUGAGGCUCGAAAGCGUGGGUAGCAAACAGGAUUAGAUACCCUGGUAGUCCACGCCGUAAACGAUGAAUGCUAGGUGUUGGAGGGUUUCCGCCCUUCAGUCUUCUUCAUUAGGAUGAAUGGCAUCAGGCAAUAAAAGAGGGUAAGGGUAUAAUGGGGUAUGGAAAU
rnacentral:rRNA from 1 species